UAGGGAAUCUUCGGCAAUGGGGGGAACCCUGACCGAGCAACGCCGCGUGAGUGAAGAAGGUUUUCGGAUCGUAAAGCUCUGUUGUUAAGGAAGAACGAGUGUGAGAAUGGAAAGUUCAUGCUGUGACGGUACUUAACCAGAAAGGGACGGCUAACUACGUGCCAGCAGCCGCGGUAAUACGUAGGUCCCGAGCGUUGUCCGGAUUUAUUGGGCGUAAAGCGAGCGCAGGCGGUUAGAAAAGUCUGAAGUGAAAGGCAGUGGCUCAACCAAUGUAGGCUUUGGAAACUGUUUAACUUGAGUGCAGAAGGGGAGAGUAGAAUUCCAUGUGUAGCGGUGAAAUGCGUAGAUAUAUGGAGGAACACCGGUGGCGAAAGCGGCUCUCUGGUCUGUAACUGACGCUGAGGCUCGAAAGCGUGGGGAGCGAACAGG
rnacentral:rRNA from 1 species